UGGAUAUGAUGAAUGUCAGUCUGAAACACAUGAUGAACCUUUGCAGAAUUCCUCUAGAUAGUCAAGUACUGAUCCAA